rnacentral:lncRNA from 1 species
CCCAAUCGGCGGGAGAGACUCGUGUGUGUUUGGCCUUUCCUCAUGACGUAGCGUUCUGUGCCUCUCCCCCCCCCCCCCCCGCUCCCUCUCCUUUUCCCCUCCCUCCUCGCCCCCCUCCCCUUCCCCUCGCAUCCUUGGAAGCAACAAUUAAGCAGCUCUGGGAUAAAACACACAGCCCGCGGGAGCACGAGGGCAUUGCUUCAAGAGAUGGCAAGGCAGGCAGCUGCACCCCUCCUCCCCGGAGUCCUCCUCCUCCUCUCCAUCCUCCCGGCUACUCAGCAAGGAGGGGUUCCUGGUGCUAUCCCGGGAGGGGGAGUCCCAGGAGGAGGAUUUUUCCCAGGUGCUGGAGUUGGAGGUUUGGGAGCAGGACUCGGGGCUGCAGGAAAACCUCCCAAACCAGGGGUCGGAGGACUUGGGGGGGGUCGGAGGACUUGGGGGACUCGGCCCCCUUGGCCUGCAGCCAGGUGCUGCGGGCCUGUUCCCCGGAGCUGCCUUCCCCGGGGGGGGUGUUCCCGGGAGCCGCCUCGGCCGCGGCGCUCAAGGCUGCUGCAAAAGCUGGUGCUGGCAUUGGAGGCGUGGGUGGAAUUGGUGGUCCUGGUGGCCUCGGGGUCUCCACAGGUGCCGUGGUACCGGGCGUGGUGCAGCCCGGCCUUGGCGCGGCAGGGAAACCCCCUAAAAUACCAGGUGCUGGGAUUCCUGGAGCUUUUCCAGGCGGUGUGCUCCCCGGAGCAGGUGUUCGCUUCCCUGGUGUGGGAGUGCUGCCUGGAGUCCCCACUGGAGCUGGAGUCAAGCCCAAAGCCCCAGGAGUUGGAGCAUUUGGAGGAAUCCCUGGACUGGGAGGUUUUGGAGGUCAGCAGCCUGGUGUCCCUCUGGGUUAUCCCAUCAAAGCUCCUAAGCUCCCAGGUAAGGUCCACAGCCAGCAGAGUGGCUUCACUGUGGGUGAAGGAUCCCCAGCAGUGUCAGGAGAAGGACCCGCCAUUCCCUGGGGCUGGGGCACGGUGCCCACAGGUCCCCUGGACCUGGCAGUGCCUGUGCUGGCCUUGGGACAGCAGGACAGAGCCAGGGGCUCUGCUGUGCCCUUCCUGUGGCACCCCAUGGGCAGCUCCUGGGGUUCUGCCUGUGGUCUUGCCCCCGGCUCACGUGGACAAUGCUGUGCCUCUCUCCAGCUGCUGUAAGGUAGGAAGGAUCACGUUCUGGGGACACACUCUGGGCCAGGACACCCUGGGAUGUCCCUGCCACCUGCUGCUGGUGCAAGGCACAGCCCUUGCAGGGACAAUCUGCUUUCUGGGCUGGGUGUCCUGGCUCAAGGAGCUGUAGCUGAGGCCACCUGGGGCCUCCAGGCAGAUCUCUGUCCCC